UUACUAAUAUUACUAGACUCGGUUCCAAUUGCAACACUUUGGACAAAGAGCUGAAGACUCUUAAUCUGUUUGAAAAAUAGUGUGAUUCAAGAACUUGAAUCAGCUGACAAGGAUGGGAAAUCACCAACAGCUCAAGUUAAAGAAUGGCUUCAAGAAGUUGAAGAGAUGAUGAACCAAAUGGGUUUGAUACAGCAAGAAAUGAUGGUACACAAGAACAAUUUUGUGGAUGCUAAGUAAAUUGCAGGCACCAAUAUAGGCCCAGCAAGAAAGUAGUAAAAGCGAUCAAGAACGUAGAAAAACUCAAGGAAGGUGGAAGUUUUACAGAAGGCAUUGUUAUUAAGAAUCCUGAAGCAAGCCCAAUCAAGCAUAUUCCUGGACCUUCAAUUUUUCAAGAUCGAACAACAGCAUCUCAAACUUUAACAGCUUAUGGAUAUGUUAGAUGAUGAUGAGGUUCAAAGAGUUGGUGUUUGGGGGAUGGGAGGAAUAGGGAAGAUUACCCUGGUGAAGACCUUGAAUAAUAAAUUAAGGACUGCUCCUGUCCAGUCAUUCAGUGUGGGGAUAUGGGCUACAGUCUCUAGAAACUUUAACUUUUAAAGGUCCAAACACAAAUAGCUGAGAGAUUAAAUAUGGGGGUAAGUCAAGAAGAAAGUGAGGAGGGAUUAGCUAUCCGGCUGCAUCAACGACUUGAGAAGGAAAGAAGUUCCUUCUAAUUCUUGAUGAUGUAUGGGAGGCAAAUGAUUUGGAUCAAUUAGGAAUCCCUCAGGGGGAUGAAGCCUGAUAAAGCAGUUAAAGUUAGUAGACUUGAUGAGGAAGAAGAUUGGCAGUUGUUUAAUCAAAAUGCAGGGGAAGCAGUGUCCUUAAAACAUAUCAAAGCACUGGCAGAAUCAGUUGCCAAGGAAUGUGGAUUACCUUUAGCAAUCAUCACCAUGGGAAGGGCUAUGAUGGGAUAGAAAAUGGUAAAGCUGUGGAAGCAUGCUUUGAGCAAGUUACAACGAUCGCUGCCUUCUAUAAGUAACAUUGAAGAAAAGGUAUAUAACAUCUUGAAGUGGAGUUAUGAUACAUCAGAAGGUAGCAAAAUAAAAGCCUGUUUCCUUUAUUGCUGUUUGUUUCCUGAGGAUUUCUCUAUUGAAGUGAACUAGUACAAUGUUGGUUAGCAGAAGGAUUGAUAGAUGAACAACAAGGCUAUGAAGAUUUAUUGAUAAGUGGUAUUACUUUGUUAGAGAAUUUGAAGGACUCUUAUUUGUUGGAAGAUGGUGCUCGCAAGGGAACUGUAAAGAUGCAUGAUUUAGUUUGGGAUGUAGCUAUAUGGAUAGCAUGGUCAUUGGAAGAUGCGUGCAAAUUACUUGUUCACUCUGGUGAAAGCUCAAGGGAAAUUCCUGAGGCCAAAUUACUUUCAUGAAUAACAAGAUAAGAACAUUGCCUGAAUGUCCCAUAGAAUGUUCAGAGGGUUCAACCUUACUACUACAAGGUAAUCCCCUUGAGACGGUGCCUCAGAGGCCUGCAAGGAUUUCAAGCACUCAGGGUGUUGAAUUUAAGCAGAACUCGCAUCUGUUCGUUGCCGUUUCCCUUCUUCAACUGAAUGACAUUCGUAUUCUGCUUCUGAAAGAAUGUCAUUACCUCGAAGAAUUACCCUCAGUAGAAGGGCAAGUACUUGAUCUCAGUGCUACUCGUAUAGAACAUCUGAGCCAGUUGAGACAAGUAAACCUCUUCCGCACUCAUUUUUUUGAAGACUAUUCCUGCUGGAAUUAUAUCAAGGUUGUUAAACUUAGAGGUUCUCGACAUGACACUCAGUGAUUACCAUUGGGGUGUUGAGGAACAGGUAAUACAAGGAGAAGCAACAUCUGAAGAACUGAUGAACCUCCAAAAAUUGUUAGUCUUAUCUAUAAGAUUACAAUGCAUACCUUCCUUUGGUACUGAUGUUCCGUGGAUUGAUAGAUUAAGAAGAUCCCAGUUUUUCAUCGGCGAGCAAGCAAACUCUUUGCCAACAAGGCAUGCUAAAAGGAGAGUAACCAUAAGUGGUGUAAAUCUUUCAGGAGAAUGGAUUGGUUGGUUACUGAGUAAUGCAAAAUCUCUCAUCCUGAAUCACUGUUGGGGACUAAAUGAGAUGCUUGAGACAUUGACUAUCCAUACAACUGGUUCCUUCACUGGUUGAAGUCUCUAAGCAUUUCAAAUUCCAACAGUAGCUUAAGGCCAACAGGAGGAUGUGCUGCUCAUGAGGACAUGCUACCAAAUUUGGAAGAAGUCUAUCUUGAUCAUCUCACUUAUUUAGAAACCAUUUCAGAAUUAGUUGGGCAUCUCGGAUUGAGAUUUCCUAGAUUAAGAGUUAUGGAAGUGACAAGAUGUACUCGAUUAACAAAACUUCUUUCUUAUGGUAAUUUCAUUGUUUCCCUUCAGAGAUUGGAAGAAAUCAAGGUAAGUUUCUGUGGCAAGUUAGGGGAGCUAUUUAAGUACUGUUGAGGGCAAGAUUUAGCUCCAGAACCAAUUGUUCCAAGUUUAGGAUUAAUGAAGUUGAAGAACCUUCCAAAAUUAAGGACCCUUUGCAGAGAACGGGAGUCAUGGCCUUGUUAGUUCAGGUUGAUGUGACCAACUGCAGUCUCCUCCAAAAGUUACCUCUCAGCAGGCAGCAUGCAAAUACUAUAACUUUGCAUUUGGAUGGAGAGGUUUCAAGUUGAGAGAUACAGGUACUUUCUUGGUAACUUAGUAUUUGAGUUAACUUAUAGUUAAAUUUCAGUAUUUGAGUUAACUUAGUAUUUGAUCUUGGUUCAAUGAUUUGUGUAUGCAGAUAAUAAUUUCAAAAUCAUAUUGUGGAUCUUAAAAAUUAGUAGACUGCUUUCUGAUUGAGUUACUAGUUUCCAGAGUAUUUGUAGUUUGUGCAGAUUGCAGAAUGUUAAUAAUGGCCAGGUGAUUGCAGCUGACAUAAGAGACGAGCAGAUAAAGGCUGCCAUCCCCAAACCUCGAGUUCAAUAUUUUCCCUCUCCGUCAUCAACGUCCGAUGAUAAGAAAUUUCAGUUGAUGUCGUGACAGUAUCAAAUAGCUGUAAACUGUUUCGACAUGAAAAGAUACUCUCAGGUUAAGCGUCUGCCAUGAAAAGCCAGGAAGCAUCACUGCUGUUUGGACAUGUAAUAUCAUCAAAGUUUUAACUCAGUUUGAUCCUGUCAUGUGGCGUUUCUAAGAGGUAUGCUCCCAAUCCAAAACCCAAAACUUACAAGAUACUUCCAUUUCCUUCCGGAAGUGUUGGCGUAGGCUGCAAGGGGCAGCCGGUAACGUUAAACAUGCCAAAGCAGAAGUCGUUUGAGGGAAUGUUGAGGUCAUUAUCAGCAGUCAAUACUGCUAAAUAUCCAGGAAAGGUGAAGCAAUAAGAAUAGGAUAUCCUUGGAGAAACCUUAGAUAAAGGUAUCUCAAGUCAUGAAGAUGGAAGCUACAGUUAAUUGACUGUUAAAAUGGAGCAUAAUAGGAUUUUGUGAUAUCUUGGUAAUGCAGAGAGGAGUCAUUUUCUUAUAACAUUUGGGUAUUAUAGAGAUUACAAGGCAUUAAGAAGAGGUUUUUCUUCUAUUCUUCCUUUUAAUUUUGGAAGGCCUAAUGGGUUAUUAUCGCUCGACAUGUCCAUUACCUGAAACACCAUUGUUUCUUAUUAUUAUGCAUUGAGAACAGAAAGAGCAGACGGAAGCUUAAAGAUGAAACCAAGUUCAGUCUUCAAAUGUUGCAUUUCUUGAGAUUUUAGAGCUCAGAAGUAAACUUGCAAUAGUCCCAA